AAUGCCCAGGGCCCCCACUGUGUCUAUAAGAGGCCCAGGAGGCAGCCCCUGGCUCACAGACCACAAAGUUCCACCUGCUCACAGGUUGGCUGGCUCAGCCAAGGUGGUACCCUGCUCUGAGCAUCUAGGCCAAACCCAUCCAGCACCAUGGCCAGAUACAGAUGUUGCCGCAGCCAAAGCCGGAGCAGAUGCCGCCGUCGGAGACGAAGAUGUCGCAGACGAAGGAGGCGCUGUUGUCGGAGGCGGAGGAGAGUGUGCUGCCGCCGCUACACCGUGAGGUGUAGAAGAAGAAGAUAACAUGCUAAAGGCACAAGCUAGCAAGUCCACCACACUCCUGCCUGAAUUUUACCAGCCUUCAAGACCCUCUUGCCACAUCUUGAAAAUGCCACCAUCCCAAUGAAAUGAACAGGAGCCUGCUAACGAACAACGCCGCCUGUCAAUAAACGUUGAAAAAGUCA